UACGUAGGGACCAAGCGUUGUUCGGAUUUACUGGGCGUAAAGGGCGCGUAGGCGGCGUGACAAGUCACUUGUGAAAUCUCUGAGCUUAACUCAGAACGGCCAAGUGAUACUGUUGUGCUAGAGUGCAGAAAGGGCAAUCGGAAUUCUUGGUGUAGCGGUGAAAUGCGUAGAUAUCAAGAGGAACACCUGAGGCGAAGGCGGGUCUCUGGGCAGUAAACUGACGCUGAGGAGCGAAAGCGUGGGGAGCGAACAGG
rnacentral:rRNA from 1 species